rnacentral:SRP_RNA from 1 species
GCCAGGCAUGGCAGUGUGUGUGCACCUGUAGUCCCAGCUACUCAGGAGGCUGAGGCAGGAGGAUCACUUGAGUCCAGGAGUUCUGGGCUAUAGAAGCCUAGGUCUACUGGGUGUCCACACUAAGUUUAGCAUCAAUAUGGCAAGCUCCUGAGAGCAGGGGACCACCAGGUUUCCUAAGGAGGUGUGAACUGGCUGGCCCAGGUCAGAAAUGGAGCAGGUCAAAACUCCCGUGCUGAUCAGGAGUGACACUGUGCUGAGAUCAGCCACUCCACGCCAGGCUAGGCAACACGGCAGGGCCCUGUCUCA